CUUGCUGGGUGGAUUAGUGGCGAACGGGUGAGUAACACGUGAGUAACCUGCCCCUGACUCUGGGAUAAGCGUUGGAAACGACGUCUAAUACUGGAUAUGAUCACUGGCCGCAUGGUCUGGUGGUGGAAAGAUUUUUUGGUUGGGGAUGGACUCGCGGCCUAUCAGCUUGUUGGUGAGGUAAUGGCUCACCAAGGCGACGACGGGUAGCCGGCCUGAGAGGGUGACCGGCCACACUGGGACUGAGACACGGCCCAGACUCCUACGGGAGGCAGCAGUGGGGAAUAUUGCACAAUGGGCGAAAGCCUGAUGCAGCAACGCCGCGUGAGGGAUGACGGCCUUCGGGUUGUAAACCUCUUUUAGUAGGGAAGAAGCGAAAGUGACGGUACCUGCAGAAAAAGCACCGGCUAACUACGUGCCAGCAGCCGCGGUAAUACGUAGGGUGCAAGCGUUGUCCGGAAUUAUUGGGCGUAAAGAGCUCGUAGGCGGUUUGUCGCGUCUGCUGUGAAAUCCCGAGGCUCAACCUCGGGCUUGCAGUGGGUACGGGCAGACUAGAGUGCGGUAGGGGAGAUUGGAAUUCCUGGUGUAGCGGUGGAAUGCGCAGAUAUCAGGAGGAACACCGAUGGCGAAGGCAGAUCUCUGGGCCGUAACUGACGCUGAGGAGCGAAAGCAUGGGGAGCGAACAGGAUUAGAUACCCUGGUAGUCCAUGCCGUAAACGUUGGGCGCUAGAUGUAGGGACCUUUCCACGGUUUCUGUGUCGUAGCUAACGCAUUAAGCGCCCCGCCUGGGGAGUACGGCCGCAAGGCUAAAACUCAAAGGAAUUGACGGGGGCCCGCACAAGCGGCGGAGCAUGCGGAUUAAUUCGAUGCAACGCGAAGAACCUUACCAAGGCUUGACAUACACCGGAAACGGCCAGAGAUGGUCGCCCCCUUGUGGUCGGUGUACAGGUGGUGCAUGGUUGUCGUCAGCUCGUGUCGUGAGAUGUUGGGUUAAGUCCCGCAACGAGCGCAACCCUCGUUCUAUGUUGCCAGC
rnacentral:rRNA from 1 species